UAGGGAAUCUUCCACAAUGGACGCAAGUCUGAUGGAGCAACGCCGCGUGAGUGAAGAAGAUCUUCGGAUCGUAAAACUCUGUUGUUAGAGAAGAACACAAGUGAGAGUAACUGUUCAUUCGAUGACGGUAUCUAACCAGCAAGUCACGGCUAACUACGUGCCCG
rnacentral:rRNA from 1 species